CAAGAAAAUUUUUUAUUUAUUCUCUAUCCAUACCCCAAAUACUUUAUGAUCCCAUUGUUUACAAAAUGCUCUUUGUUUUCUUAUGCAGUUCCUCCAUCUCUUAAACCACCUGCUCCUUCUCCUCCUAUAGAAGAACAAGAGAAUUAUGAUGAAGUGCCACGUGAAGGAACUAUCAUUGAAAGUGAGGAGCCAGAUGAAGAGCUGUAAGAUAACUGUGCUGCUACUUUUGUUCCUCAAGACACCUUUUCCCCUCCUCCUCUCCCUCCCUCCUCCUCUCGCUCACCUCAACGCUUCCUCUAUCUCUUCCAAGGAGUAACAGCAUCAAUACUCUUGAAAGGGAUGCUUUACCUUAUCCACCUUCAUCUCCUAGUGCACAGAGGAAAGGGUAAGGACUAUAGAGUAUAUUAGAUAUUUGGGGGAUUUCCUCCAAACAUUGAUAUAAUCACUGUUAGAUUUAGAGAGAUUUUACGAGUCUUUUAGUCUCACAUAUUUGGUCUAGGUGCCUUGAAAUGUCUCCUUUUUUUCAGCUUUUUGUUUCUCAUAUUUA